rnacentral:rRNA from 1 species
UAUCGGAGAGUUUGAUCCUGGCUCAGGACGAACGCUGGCGGCGUGCCUAAUACAUGCAAGUCGAGCGGAUUGAUGGGAGCUUGCUCCCUGAAAUCAGCGGCGGACGGGUGAGUAACACGUGGGUAACCUGCCUGUAAGACUGGGAUAACUCCGGGAAACCGGGGCUAAUACCGGAUAGUUCUUUUCCUCGCAUGAGGAAAAGUGGAAAGGCGGCUUCGGCUGCCACUUACAGAUGGACCCGCGGCGCAUUAGCUAGUUGGUGAGGUAACGGCUCACCAAGGCAACGAUGCGUAGCCGACCUGAGAGGGUGAUCGGCCACACUGGGACUGAGACACGGCCCAGACUCCUACGGGAGGCAGCAGUAGGGAAUC